CAGUAAUUGAUAUAGAAAGACCCACUCUAUUAUAUCAAAACCACAUUGCAAGUGAAAUUUGCACUGGUGACAUCUCUCUUUUCAAUUCCAAACCUGCAUUUUACAUGGUUUUGAGAAGAAUGUUUUAGUGGUUGAGACAGAAUUUGUUGAAGUUCUAGCAUUCAGUGGCCUUUCAGCAGUGGAUGCUGUCAUGGAGGUUUAUUCGGCCUGCGAGGAACUUAGGUGUGAUGGAACAGGUUGGAUGUUAAAUUAAGGGAAAUGCAGUAUUGUUAAAUUUGCAUGCCCUGAUGAUCUAGUUUGCUUUUCCCAGCAUAUGAUUCUUUAUCAUGUUUUAAUUUGUUGAUUGUGGUUUAUUUGUGAUUGUGCUUGAUUUGAUGGUCAAGGUGUAUGGGUAUUCCAAGUGGGAGAUCAGUUUGUUUAGGUCUUAGUUUUCAUGCUACAGAGGAAAAACAUGUCAAACCAAUUUAAUAGUUCAUUUCAUGUUUCUGAGUUUAUGUUUUAUCAACACACUAGUUUUUAGAUUUAGAGUAGAUUGGUUUGUAUCAGUAUAUGUCCUUUCUUGUAAUCAUAACCCAUGUUCUUGUAACAAAAAUCAUCAAAGGCAUCCAAUGAAACUUUCUGCUUAUAAAUUUGCCUCUCCUUUUUGUUUCAUUCUUUUUCUCCUUUAUUUUGAGUGGUGUUGGUAAUGUGCAAUGAAGAUCAAGUCAGAAAGCCUUUAAUGCUACUCCAACGAACCCCUGAGCCUGGCAGUUGUUGUACUGGGCCUUCUUUAUUUCUUGAUUCAUGUACACAUAUCUCUUCUUAUCUCCAUAAAUUCUUCUGCAAUCCACUGUUACAUGCAUCAUACCUUGUCUUCGGGAAAUCUUUCUUUUUUAUAAUUUUGACUCAAUCUUUUUGUCUUAUUACCUUUUAUGCCUUUUAUUAGAGAAAAGCUGAGCAUGUUUUCUGCUCUUCAGUAGCUUAUCAUUUUCUUCAGUUGUAUUGAUUGCAUUUUAGAGUUCAAAAGCUUUUAAUAUGUGAUACUUUAGAGUUCAAAAAAGAUUUUAAGCAGCUAAAAGUCAUCAAAUCAAAACAAUGCAAAAAGGCCCCAGGUGGGUCCAAUGUUGUUGCACUUGCCUAACUAUUUAGAGGGUGAUAGUUUUCUCCAACCCCCAUAAUUAAAAGGGGGGAGGACAAAAUGAAUGGUCCAUCACUUUUUCAUAGUGAUUUUCCAUUAAGAAACUAAAAGAAACACAUCAAUGAAAAAUCAAGAUCUUCAUUGUUGAAUUAUGGAGGCUAAGACUGCUAGUCUCUUUCCCACACUUUUAAUGGCUCCACUUAGAAGUUCAUAUAUGUUGCUGUUUUUUGGUUCACUAAGUGGUAUCUAUGGUUUGGUGGGACUAAAAUUGAUUUCAUUACCUUAUAGGAGGCAUUAGGCCCUGUGUUGUCUCUCACCUAACCUUAAAAAGAGAGAUAUGAGUCAUACCUACAACAUACACUGCCUGUAUACAUGAAAAAUUUGGCUUGGCCUAGGGGUAACUUGGAAUUGAAAGAAACACUAAGUGGUGACUGAUGAGGGACCACAUUGGAUAUUUUUCUACAUUGGGGACUGGACCCAAAUCCCCAACCAUUAGUAUGAAACCAAAAAAUUACCUCAACUCAGCUAGAUAAAGAGGCUCACUAGUUUGCAAAGAAAAGCAAAGAUUAAAAAGAAAAAGAGGCUCACUAGUUCACAAAUCUUCCAAGAAAAAGAGCAGAAAGUGCUGCAUCAAUCUUACUUUCUAGCUUGUUUAUUUUAAAGACCAAUUGAGAUGCGCAGCUAGUCAACUACAUGGGUUAAUUUCUUUUUUAAUUAGCUUAUUUUUACAUUUGUUUUUCUAUAAAUCAAAGUACCUAUGGGAUAAAUCUUUUCACUAUCAAAAAUUAAUUUUUUCUCCUCCACCGUAUGGCCCAUAAUACUGUCACCAGGAUAGUGGACAACCAUUUGUUCUGUUCUUUGUCAAAAGGCUUGAUGGUCAACACGGUGAUCUAGUUAUGAAGGUUGUGAGGGUUGAGAAGAUCUACUCUUAGGUCAAAUUAGAUCCAAGCCACACAGCUUUGCCAAAGGGGAACUUGAGGAAAAGUUGAUCAAAACUUUCUUCCUCUUGAUUGCAAAAGAGGACUUGUCUUAUAUGGUUUCAGCCAGAGUUUGGUCCUGAGCAGCAGCGAAAGACUUGUCUUUUCAAAAAAAUGUACUCAUGUAUGCAUAUUGUUUAGUUCGUGCAUAGAGUUACAAAAUCUCUUAUAUUCUUAGUUAAUUAGGGUAUCAUGCAUAUGAACCAUCUGAGGUAUGAUUGUUUCUUUUUUCUUGAUAGGAACUUUUAUACUUGUUCUAUAUAGUGUUGAAAUGAUGUAAUUGUCCUUUUUUCGUUGAAUAAAUUCUUAUAAAAAAAAUAUAAUUACUUCGGUGCAAGAUAUAUACAUAUUAGUAGACGUAAAUAUAAAAGGAAAAUGUUUACCAAUAAAAAAAUAUAAAAAGAAAAUGGCCCUUUUGGAUGUAACCUGCUAUUAUUUGAGAAGUCCUCCCUCCCCUUGCAAGUGAAUUACUUAAUAUUUAAGCUUUGUUGUCUUAUGUAAUUGUUUAAAAUCUUUUCUUGUCCUACUUUGGUUCAGUUCCGGACUACAUUAUUAGUAGAUUUAUUUUCUUUUACUUAAGGUAUUGAGUUUUAACAUUGUUUACAAUUUGCCUGAUCAAUAAAAUUUCUAUUCGAUAUAUGUUUUUAAUGGUUUAUUUUUCACUGGGUAUAUGCAUGGCAUGGGUGAUGGUUUAUGGGCCAGGGCCACUGAUCUCAUUCUCAUGUUUGACCAUUUUGAAGUCUGGAAUGGGGGGAAUGAAAGUGUAUUAUGUACGCUAAUAUAUACUUUGGAAUCAAGGCAUUAAUAUUUCAGCUAGACCCUUUUUUUUUCCCCUCUAUUUAAUGAUGCUAUAUCCUCUCUUUCCCCAUAUUUUUAUGGGUUAAAUUAACCAAGCUUGUGUAAUUUUUUUGUACUUUUUAAAUUUCAUUUUAAGGAAUGUUAUGUUGUUUAUGAAGCAUAUAUAUAUAUAUAUAUAUAUACAUAUAUAUAUAUAUAUAUAUAUUUUAAUAAAAUCAUGUUAUGUGAACAUGAUUAUUGUUGGGUGGUGAAGAAAGUUCUUUUUUGACACUUAACUUCUAGUCUUCUUUCAUCACUCAAGAUUCUAGGGAUUGGGAUCUUUUAGUAAAAAAAUUUGAAGUCAUUUGAUGUCCCGGCCCUAAAUUAUAUGGGGGAUGAAGGUCGUGCACCCUUGCCCUUUCAACUAACUAAGGAGAUGCAUUCGAUUGGUAUCUAUUCUCGGCUUGACCAAGUUUUUAAUGCUCCUAAUGCUGUUAAGGAGGUUUGGACUGGUCAAUUUGGUUUGGAUCGUUCAUACGUAGGGUCCAAGGAAACUGAUCAAAAUGCUGUGCUGUGACUUUGUUUGCUGGUAUAUGUCACAGGAAAACCCCAAGGUGAAUUGAACUUUUCAAUGCAGCAGUGGCUCCAAAGGUCUAUUGGGCUGAGCCAUCUGACCAGGAAAAGGAAGAAAAAAGAAAAGAGCGGCUAUGGCUAAAUUAAAAAGGUAGCUAGUAUAGUGUGUGUGUAUACUCCCACACUCAGGAUGUUAUUAACAAUGUUACCUGUGACUUCUCGAAUGCCUCAUAAGGCACUGCUACCUUUGUUGUCUAAGCUCAAGCUCAAGCUCCUGCUUAAGCUACUGCAUUUGCUAAGUCAUCUACUAAGUCAAAAAAAGAAGUCUGCCUUCGAUGGACUUAGUAAAACUACCUUGAUUGCCUUGUUAAAAUAGCUUUGGAAGCAUGAAGAGGAAGUUGCAAAUGCUAACUUGGGACGAUGAAGAUGAAGAAGAAUUCAAAGCAUCAUCAGAAGCCUCUUUUUCUAAGAAAGAUGAUCCUUAUUACACUUAUGAUCAGGCACUUUUUUGUCAUAAUCCUGUUUCCACCCCUGAUUUAGUUGAUGAUUCUGUUGGCACAUGUUGACAAAACUGCUACAACCAAUGUUGAUGAGAGACUUAUUGGAAGAACUACUCUCAUAUACUUUUGACUACUUUUUAUGAAUGUGAAAUGAAUAGUAAAAGACUUUUGAUGCUCCCCACCAUGCAAAAAAUGCCAAGAUGCUUUUGUGUUCUCAACU